CCUACGGGUGGCAGCAGUGGGGAAUAUUGCACAAUGGGGGAAACCCUGAUGCAGCGACGCCGCGUGAGUGAAGAAGUACUUCGUUAUGUAAAGCUCUAUCAGCAGGGAAGAAAAUUACGGUACCUGAGUAAUAAGCCCCGGCUACCUACGGCCCAGCAGCCGCGGUCAUACGUAGGGGGCAAGCGUUAUCCGGAUUUACUGGGUGUACAGUGAGCGUAGACGGCAGUUCAAGUCUGGAGUGAAAGGCGGGGGCUCAACCCCCGGACUGCUCUUGAAACUGUAAGGCUGGAGUGCAGGAGAGGUAAGUGGAAUUCCUGGUGUAGCGGUGAAAUGCGUAGAUAUUAGGAGGAACACCAGUGGCGAAGGCGGCUUACUGGACUGUAACUGACGUUGAGGCUCGAAAGCGUGGGGAGCAAACAGGAUUAGAUACCCCGGUAGUC
rnacentral:rRNA from 1 species